GGACUACACAUGCAGUCGAGCGGUAGCACAGAGAGCUUGCUCUCGGGUGACGAGCGGCGGACGGGUGAGUAAUGUCUGGGAAACUGCCUGAUGGAGGGGGAUAACUACUGGAAACGGUAGCUAAUACCGCAUAAUGUCGCAAGACCAAAGUGGGGGACCUUCGGGCCUCAUGCCAUCAGAUGUGCCCAGAUGGGAUUAGCUAGUAGGUGGGGUAACGGCUCACCUAGGCGACGAUCCCUAGCUGGUCUGAGAGGAUGACCAGCCACACUGGAACUGAGACACGGUCCAGACUCCUACGGGAGGCAGCAGUGGGGAAUAUUGCACAAUGGGCGCAAGCCUGAUGCAGCCAUGCCGCGUGUGUGAAGAAGGCCUUCGGGUUGUAAAGCACUUUCAGCGGGGAGGAAGGCGGUGAGGUUAAUAACCUUGUCGAUUGACGUUACCCGCAGAAGAAGCACCGGCUAACUCCGUGCCAGCAGCCGCGGUAAUACGGAGGGUGCAAGCGUUAAUCGGAAUUACUGGGCGUAAAGCGCACGCAGGCGGUCUGUCAAGUCGGAUGUGAAAUCCCCGGGCUCAACCUGGGAACUGCAUUCGAAACUGGCAGGCUAGAGUCUUGUAGAGGGGGGUAGAAUUCCAGGUGUAGCGGUGAAAUGCGUAGAGAUCUGGAGGAAUACCGGUGGCGAAGGCGGCCCCCUGGACAAAGACUGACGCUCAGGUGCGAAAGCGUGGGGAGCAAACAGGAUUAGAUACCCUGGUAGUCCACGCCGUAAACGAUGUCGAUUUGGAGGUUGUGCCCUUGAGGCGUGGCUUCCGGAGCUAACGCGUUAAAUCGACCGCCUGGGGAGUACGGCCGCAAGGUUAAAACUCAAAUGAAUUGACGGGGGCCCGCACAAGCGGUGGAGCAUGUGGUUUAAUUCGAUGCAACGCGAAGAACCUUACCUGGUCUUGACAUCCACAGAACUUUCCAGAGAUGGAUUGGUGCCUUCGGGAACUGUGAGACAGGUGCUGCAUGGCUGUCGUCAGCUCGUGUUGUGAAAUGUUGGGUUAAGUCCCGCAACGAGCGCAACCCUUAUCCUUUGUUGCCAGCGGUUCGGCCGGGAACUCAAAGGAGACUGCCAGUGAUAAACUGGAGGAAGGUGGGGAUGACGUCAAGUCAUCAUGGCCCUUACGACCAGGGCUACACACGUGCUACAAUGGCAUAUACAAAGAGAAGCGACCUCGCGAGAGCAAGCGGACCUCAUAAAGUAUGUCGUAGUCCGGAUUGGAGUCUGCAACUCGACUCCAUGAAGUCGGAAUCGCUAGUAAUCGUAGAUCAGAAUGCUACGGUGAAUACGUUCCCGGGCCUUGUACACACCGCCCGUCACACCAUGGGAGUGGGUUGCAAAAGAAGUAGGUAGCUUAACCUU
rnacentral:rRNA from 1 species